AUUGAACGCUGGCGGCAGGCCUAACACAUGCAAGUCGAGCGGAAGAAGGGUGCUUGCUCCUGGAUUCAGCGUCGGACGGGUGUGUAUUGCACAGGAAUCUGCCUGGUAUUGGGGUAUAACGUCCGGAAACGGGCGCUAAUACUGCAUACGUCCUGAGGGAGAAACUGGGGGAUCUUCGGACCUUACGCUCUCAGAUGAGUCUAGGUCGGAUUAGCUAGUUGGUGGGUUAAAGGGCUACCCAGGCGACGAUCCGUAACUGGACUGAGAGGAUGGUUAGUCAACCUAGAAGUGGUACAGCAUCCAGAGUCCUACAGGAGGCAGCAGUCUAGAAUAAUAGGCAAUGGAGGGAAGCCUUAUCCAGCCAAGCCGCGGGUGUGAAGAAAAUCUACGGAUUGUAAAGCGCGUUAAGUUGGGAGAAAGAGCAGUAAGUUAAUACCUUGCUGGUUUGACGUUAACUACAGAAUAAGCACCGGCUAACUUCGUG
rnacentral:rRNA from 1 species